UUUGCUAGAUAUUAAUUAGUAUUUCCCGGAGUCGGAAUAUGAAUUUUGGUGCUAAUGCUCGACUAUUGUUCUUGCUGGUGAUUGCAUUACUGAUGCUGUUGCAAGCUGCAGUUAUGGUUGAAUGUCAAGGAGGAGGGGGAGCAUUUGGAGGAGGAUUCGGAGGAUUCUUGGAUCAGUUGGAGGAUAAAAUCCUUGAAGAAUAAUGAGGUGUUCUGCAUGAAGUUCAGAAUAUAAAUAGAAAUAUAUUGUGAAUAACACUAUUUGAAAUGUAUCUGAUUAGCAAUAAAUAAAA